GGAUAUAUCAUAGUAGUAGAGUGCAUAAUAUGUCUGGUUUGAUAAUCUGACUGCGGAUUAGAUCAUAGAAUACAAAAUCUAACUCAUCUCUAAUUGAACAUAGAAAAAAUUUGAACAACAAAUGGAGAACAUCAAACUGCAUUCCAAUAUACCAAAUUCAUAUACAUGGUUCCGGAAUCUACAAAAUAUAAUUGAAACAAAAUAUCAGAAUUAUAGAAGCUUUUUAAGAAAUAAAAUUCAACAUGUCAAAGUGGAUAACAGUUUCGAAAAGUACUGCAGUUUUCAGAAGAUGAAAAUGAACAAAAAAUAUAUAUCAAAUAAACAUCAUAAUGUGAAUCUUUCAAUAAUGAUGAAUCUUUUUCAAUAAAGUAAAACAUACUUAUUUGUUAUAAGGUAGUUACAGUAAAAAAUGCCUAAAAUAUAUUGAAAAUAUAAUGCAGUAAUAGUCUACUACCUAUUUAAUAUUAGUAGUGACUUAUUAAUCGGAAUGAAUCACAAAAAGUAAACAUAUUAGUGAGAAUGAAUGCAAGUUAUAGUAUACCCAAUAAUCUAAGUCAUCUGUAAUAUUAAAACACAGAAGCCGAUUUAUAAAGAAACAAAGGCAAAACCUUAUGCAUAGAAUGUUGUAUACACAGCUCUGAAUGAAGUAUUGACAGUCAAUUGCUCUCCUCAAUAUUAAACACUAAUCACAAAUGAAAGUAAAAUAAAAUAAGAAGUUAAGAACGUAGUUGAAAGGAAGAAGUUAUGAAAUAAAGAAGAAAUAUUGUUAGUAGGGAAACAAAAAUGACAAUAAAAUAGUGGAAUGCCAUUAUGAUGGUAAGAAACAUACAAUCUUACCUGGGCACUUUAAGAAGCAUGAAGAAGAAAUAGCAUGUUGAGAGGUUAGCAUUUUUUUUGAAGACCUAGC
rnacentral:lncRNA from 1 species